rnacentral:rRNA from 1 species
AGUGAACGCUGGCGGUAGGCCUAACACAUGCAAGUCGAACGGCAGCACAGUAAGAGCUUGCUCUUACGGGUGGCGAGUGGCGGACGGGUGAGGAAUACAUCGGAAUCUACUUUUUCGUGGGGGAUAACGUAGGGAAACUUACGCUAAUACCGCAUACGACCUACGGGUGAAAGCAGGGGAUCGUCGGACCUUGCGCGAUUGAAUGAGCCGAUGUCGGAUUAGCUAGUUGGCGGGGUAAAGGCCCACCAAGGCGACGAUCCGUAGCUGGUCUGAGAGGAUGAUCAGCCACACUGGAACUGAGACACGGUCCAGACUCCUACGGGAGGCAGCAGUGGGGAAUAUUGGACAAUGGGCGCAAGCCUGAUCCAGCCAUACCGCGUGGGUGAAGAAGGCCUUCGGGUUGUAAAGCCCUUUUGUUGGGAAAGAAAAGCAGCAGGUUAAUACCCCGCUGUUCUGACGGUACCCAAAGAAUAAGCACCGGCUAACUUCGCG